UACGUAGGGUGCAAGCGUUGUCCGGAAUUAUUGGGCGUAAAGGGAGUGUAGGCGGUUUGUUAAGUCUUCUGUGAAAUCUACGGGCUUAGCCUGUAACGUGCAGAGGAAACUGGCAGACUUGAGUAUUGGAGAGGGCAGGGGAAUACCCAGUGUAGAGGUGAAAUUCGUAGAGAUUGGGUGGAACACCAGUGGCGAAGGCGCCUGCCUGGCUGAUUACUGACGCUGAGACUCGAAAGCAUGGGGAGCAAACAGG
rnacentral:rRNA from 1 species